rnacentral:lncRNA from 1 species
UCUGGAGGUCAGUUUCUUAUGUUUCCAGCCCCGGGGCCCUUUUGACCUCUGCAUGGAGAAGCCAACUGCCUUCCGCUGUUCUGAGUCUCUGCUGAGUGGCAAACAUGGGCUGAAUAGCUUCAGAUCCAACCAUGAAAGUGAAAACAUACUGGUGAUCGGUGUGAAGACAAUCACGGUCAUCUCUUCCAGAGUUCUGCUCCCGUGAAGUUCGUUCCACAUGAAGGAAGAGCCAGCCGUCAUCAGGCGUCUUUCCAGUCCUUUCCUCUUCUGCAGUUGUUUACAGUUGUCUUGAGACCUUUCAUCCUUUUUCCCUUUCUGGAGAGCACAGUACUGAGGCUCGCCCCCGCGAAGCUAACGGGAGCUGAUGAAACAUUGUCAGUGUUUCUGCAGAAUCCUUAUCAAUGGCGUUCGAUCUCAUGUUGACAGGUUAGCUGUCUCCGCUUCCACAGCACUGUCUGACCGCCAUUCUCCAUCACAGCAGAUUGACUCGGGUGACUGUCUCCGUGGUUACAGAGGUCCUGAGUUCUGUUCCCAGCAACCACAUGGUGGCUCACAACCAUCUGUAAUGGGAUCUGAUGCCCUCUUCUGGAGUGUCUGAAGACAGUGACAGUGUACUUACAUAUAUAAAAUAAAUAAAUCUUAAAAAAAAAAAAAAAAGGGCUG